UACGUAGGGUGCGAGCGUUAAUCGGAAUUACUGGGCGUAAAGUGUGCGCAGGCGGCCGCGCAAGUCGAGUGUGAAAGCCCCGGGCUUAACUUGGGAAUUGCGCUCGAAACUACGUGGCUGGAGUGUGGCAGAGGAAGGUGGAAUUCCACGUGUAGCGGUGAAAUGCGUAGAGAUGUGGAGGAACACCAGUGGCGAAGGCGGCUUUCUGGUCUGUAACUGACGCUGAGGCGCGAAAGCGUGGGGAGCAAACAGG
rnacentral:rRNA from 1 species